GUCACAGACCUUUGAUUUGUAGAACACCCGCUAUCUGUGAGGCACAGAUGAAGUGCCGGGAGAUAAGGUCUUUAUCCAGAAGCAGCAAGAUGAUUAAAGAAUGGAAAUGGGUCAAGGGUGAAAUGGAUAACGAAACCUGUCCAGGAGAUAAGCCCAGGGCAUUGCUUAGUGAUGAG